rnacentral:misc_RNA from 1 species
GAAAUGCGAUAAUUAAUGUGAAUUGCAGAAUUCAGUGAAUCAUCGAGUCUUUGAACGCACAUUGCGCCCCCUGGUAUUCCGGGGGGCAUGCCUGUCCGAGCGUCAUUGCUGCGCUCAAGCACGACUUGUGUGUUGGGCUUCCGUCCCUGGCAACGGGGACGGGCCCAAAAGGCAGUGGCGGCACCAUGUCUGGUCCUCGAGCGUAUGGGGCUUUGUCACCCGCUCCCGUAGGUCCAGCUGGCAGCUAGCCUCGCAACCAAUCUUUUUAACCAGGUUGACCUCGGAUCAGGUAGGGAUACCCGCUGAACUUAAGC